UGAUAGCGAAGAGGUCACACCCGUUCCCAUGCCGAACACGGAAGUUAAGCUCUUCAGCGCCGAUGGUAGUCGGGGGUUUCCCCCUGUGAGAGUAGGACGCCGCCAAGC
rnacentral:rRNA from 1 species